GCUCUCUCUCUCUCUCUCCUGCUCCACCAUGGUAAGAUGUGCUUGCUUCCCCUUCACUUUCCGACUUGAUCGACCUUCAAGUACAUGCUCCAUUGAACUCUCUGAAUUUAGCUGGCUAACAAAGAAAGAGAAGAUGGAGAAGGCACAACCAUUCUAAACUGCCUUGACAUGGAGGUGACACCAAUUUUAUUGUAGGAAUAAGUGACAUGACUGUAUCUAAUUGCAAGGGCCUGGGAAGCACAACUAACCAUGCACCAAAGAACACAAGAACACAGGUGGCUUGGGUCAUGUGCUACAGCUUCCCUGUGAUCACCUUGCUUCUGAAAUAUCUGAAAAUGGCUUUCUCUUCUUCAUUCAUUUCUACAUCUUCAUUCAUUCUCCCAGGUCUUGUAAUGGUUGUGCACAUAGAUAGAAGAGACUUGCCUUGUCUCAGAUGAGAUUUUGGAUGUUUGAGUUAACACUGGAAUGAGUUAAGACUUUGGGGUACUGUCAGGAAGGCAUGAUUGUAUUUUGCAAGGUGAGAAGAAUAUGUAAUUUGAGAGGGACUAGGGACAGAAUGAUAUAGUUUGGAUCUGUAUCCCCACCCAAAUCUUAUGUUGAAUUGUAAUCCCCAAUAUUGGAGGUAGGGCCUGGUGGAAGGUGUUUUGAUCAUGGGAGUGGAUGCCUCAUGGCUUGGUGUUGUCUUUACAAUAGGGGGUUAGUUCUCAUGCGAUCUGGUUGUUUAAAAGUGUGUGGCAUCUGCCCCUCCACCUCUCUCCUUCUUCCUCGUGCUUUCACCAUGUGAUGUGCCUUCUCCCUCUUCACCUUCUGCAAUGAUUGUAAGCUUUAUGAGACAUCCCCAGAAGUUAAGCAGAUGCCAGCACCAUACUGCCUGUAAAGCCUACAGAACUGUGACCCAAUUAAACCUCUUUUCUUUAUAAAUUA
rnacentral:lncRNA from 1 species